AGCAAUACGUCAGCGGCGGACGGGUGAGUAACGCGUGGGAACGUACCUUUUGGUUCGGAACAACACAGGGAAACUUGUGCUAAUACCGGAUAAGCCCUUACGGGGAAAGAUUUAUCGCCGAAAGAUCGGCCCGCGUCUGAUUAGCUAGUUGGUGAGGUAAUGGCUCACCAAGGCGACGAUCAGUAGCUGGUCUGAGAGGAUGAUCAGCCACAUUGGGACUGAGACACGGCCCAAACUCCUACGGGAGGCAGCAGUGGGGAAUAUUGGACAAUGGGCGCAAGCCUGAUCCAGCCAUGCCGCGUGAGUGAUGAAGGCCCUAGGGUUGUAAAGCUCUUUUGUGCGGGAAGAUAAUGACGGUACCGCAAGAAUAAGCCCCGGCUAACUUCGUGCCAGCAGCCGCGGUAAUACGAAGGGGGCUAGCGUUGCUCGGAAUCACUGGGCGUAAAGGGUGCGUAGGCGGGUCUUUAAGUCAGGGGUGAAAUCCUGGAGCUCAACUCCAGAACUGCCUUUGAUACUGAAGAUCUUGAGUUCGGGAGAGGUGAGUGGAACUGCGAGUGUAGAGGUGAAAUUCGUAGAUAUUCGCAAGAACACCAGUGGCGAAGGCGGCUCACUGGCCCGAUACUGACGCUGAUGC
rnacentral:rRNA from 1 species